rnacentral:rRNA from 1 species
CCUACGGGCGGCAGCAGUGGGGAAUAUUGCACAAUGGGGGAAACCCUGAUGCAGCGACGCCGCGUGAGCGAUGAAGUAUUUCGGUAUGUAAAGCUCUAUCAGCAGGGAAGAAAAUGACGGUACCUGACUAAGAAGCCCCGGCUAACUACGUGCCAGCAGCCGCGGUAAUACGUGGGGGGCAAGCGUUAUCCGGAUUUACUGGGUGUAAAGGGAGCGUAGACGGCGAUGCAAGCAGAUGUGAAAGCCCGGGGCUCAACCCCGGGACUGCAUUUGGAACUGUAGUGCUAGAGUGUCGGAGAGGUAGGCGGAAUUCCUGGUGUAGCGGUGAAAUGCGUAGAGAUUAGGAGGAACACCGGUUGCGAAGGCGGCCUGCUGGACGAUGACUGACGUUGAGGCGCGAAAGCGUGGGGAGCAAACAGGAUUAGAUACCCCUGUAGUC